GACGUAGGGCGCGAGCGUUGUCCGGAUUUAUUGGGCGUAAAGAGCUCGUAGGCGGCUUGUCGCGUCGGCUGUGAAACCCGCGGCUCAACUGUGGGCGGGCAGCUGAUACGGGCAGGCUGGAGUUCGGUAGGGGAGACUGGAAUUCCUGGAUGUAGCGGUGAAAUGCGCAGAUAUCAGGAGGAACACCGGUGGCGAAGGCGGGUCUCUGGGCCGAUACUGACGCUGAGGAGCGAAAGCGUGGGGAGCGAACAGG
rnacentral:rRNA from 1 species